rnacentral:rRNA from 1 species
UACGGAGGGUGCAAGCGUUAUCCGGAUUCACUGGGUUUAAAGGGAGCGUAGGAGGGCAGGUAAGUCAGUGGUGAAAUCUUCGAGCUUAACUCGGAAACUGCCGUUGAUACUAUCUGUCUUGAAUACCGUGGAGAUGAGCGGAAUAUGUCAUGUAGCGGUGAAAUGCUUAGAUAUGACAUAGAACACCAAUUGCGAAGGCAGCUCGUUACACGAAUAUUGACGCUGAGGCUCGAAAGCGUGGGGAUCAAACAGG